rnacentral:lncRNA from 1 species
UCGCGGGAUUUGAACAGGAAGUUAGAUUGCCCAUGCGCAUUAUUCAAACACGCACCUUUCCUGUAUUUGAAAAAGAACAACAAAGGACAAAGACGAAAGAGAACUUCCCGUUUAUCACGUAUAUUUAUGGUAUGUAGAUGUUUGCAUGUGGCUAUCACGGUUUGUUAUAUUUAUGAAUUGUGUUUAGAAACUCUGAAUUGGUAUCAUAUUGCACAAUUAGAGAAAAUUAUAACGUCAACAUCAGAAAACAGAUCAGAACACAUGGAAGGGCCAUCAUAUAUAAUUUCCUCCAAUUAUACUAUUUCUAAGAGCAUUUAAUUUAGUUUCAUUUUAAAGUUUAGGUAAAGAUUGUUACAAUUAUUAUGCUUAAAAAUUCAUAUAAGAAAAAGGGGGGAUAGCAAGUGUUUACAUUAUUUUGCUCAGGUAAAUUUCCCAACAUGUUUACUUUAUUACUAUAUAUAUGCGAUUCUUUUAGUUUAACUUUAAGACUUGGUAAACCACAUACUUUUUGACGAUCAUAUUAAACAAUGAAUUUCAACUGGACAACAAGUAUUCAAUGAAUUUGAACGAUCAUGGAAAAUUGAUACUUUUAUUGUUUUAUUUUUACAAAAACAAGUCAGUCUGAGCCUUUACUGAUCUUCAGGUGAUCUCUAACUCUGUGUAAUAUGAGAAAUGCAUGUUUACAUUAAUGCAUAGGAGGAUCCAGGGGGGGGGGGGGGGGGCUGGGGGCCCGAGCCCCCCCCCUUUCGUGGGAAUAAUUUGGUUGAUUAUAUAGGGAAUUACUGAAGCAUGACUGGAGUGGGCCCCCCCUUAGGUCAGUCAGCGGGCCCCCCCUUAUGAAAAGUUCUGGAUCCGCCACCGUAAUGUGUACGUUACCUGGUUUUGAAUGUUUUAGCAGUCCAUUAUCUGAGAUCAUGAACAUGUAUUAUUUAUUUUACAGAAGCUUGUCAAUCAAAUCAAUGGCUAAAAGGCAUCAAGUGGAGCAAAAUUAAAAUUCAGUUUUGGGAAUUCCAGUCUUUAAAAUCAUCAAAGGUAGGUUUUUUGUCUGUAUAGCUAUAUACCAUUUGUGUUCAAAGAUUAAUCUUUGGUUUAUUCUAAUUUUGUUUACUUUACAUACCAUAUUAUGUUUGUCUUUAUAUCUAAGCUAUUCUAGUAAAGCUCUUUAUUUUAUAAUAAUGGAAUUGUGCAGUCAUCAAUAAAAAAAAACGUCUUACUAGGUAAAGUGUUUUCAUUGUUAUCAAUAACAUAGUGGAACCCGCAGUCUUACUAAUCUCAGGUUGAAGCUUCUUCAUUAACAAAAAACUACUAAUAGUAAACAUUAAUGUAUAUAUUUUUAUUAAUGAUUAUCUUAUUACAAUAUGUGCUUCAUCAUUAUGGUUUUAUUUAUUUUCAAUGCUUCUAGAAACAAAUUGAAUGUGGCUCAAAUUUAAAAUAUCUUUUCAGGACAUACAAUUUAUAUUUUAUUAUAUAUAUAUAAUCUGAUUUUUUUCAGAGUUUAAAUAUACUGCAAGAGUAAAAAGAUGUCACUUGGAAAUACAUAUCUGAUAAAGACCUCUCCUGCUUAAAAUUUACCGCUGAAAGAUCCCGAGGUGGUGGACGAAUGAUGACAUGCAAUAAGGACAACAAGAGACAAAUAUAACAAAUGAAUUUAUAAAAUAAAUCUUGUAUCAAAAGAAAUAUCAUUGUAUUAUUAAUUAUUACUAUUUUUGAUAUUAUUGUUCCUGAG